rnacentral:lncRNA from 1 species
GGGGUACCGGUACAGAGUCAAUGUGGAAGCUAUAUACAGGGGGUACCGGUACAGAGUCAAUGUGGAGGCUAUAUACAGGGGGGGGUACCGGUACAGAGUCAAUGUGGAGGCUAUAUACAGGGGGUACCGGUACUGAGUCAAUGUGGAGGCUAUAUACAGGGGGUACCGGUACAGAGUCAAUGUGGAGGCUAUAUACAGGGGGUACCGGUACAGAGUCAAUGUGGAGGCUAUAUACAGGGGGUACCGGUACAGAGUCAAUGUGGAGGCUAUAU